UGGAUAAGGCUGUAUUUGGGACCCCAUCGUAUCUGUCCCCCCCACAUGCCUGAUAAGCCUCUUACCAGGGCAGGCCCAGGGAACAGGCAGGAAGCAGGCUGGAAGAGGGGAAAGGGUCAGCUGGGUCUGGCUGAGCUCCAGAGCAGAUGGCAGGGGCCAGGGAGUCCUGACAGAGCCCCGGGAGGUGUUGGGGGGGGGCUCCCUGGGAGAGCAGUGCAGAGUGGUGGUUAGACUGGGGAUUCCGAAGCCAGGAUGCCUGCACUUAUACCCGGCUCUUCCACUUCAUACCCGGGUGAGAUCCGGAUCCUCUCCAGGAGGUGCCCAUCUUACCUGGCAGCACACUCUGGUGGCCUGGGCCUCGCUGGCAUCUGGAGUUUCAGAGGCUGCACCUCCCCAUAGGCGUCCCCACACCUUCCCAAUCUGCGUGUGCCUCAGGACUCCUUCCCAGGAAUCCUGGCCUUUUGGGCCUGGUUUUUCCCUGCACCCACAACAGAUACCUUGGAGCCCUGGUGCCCUCUGGUGACAAAAGCCAUACAUAGCAGUUACAGGGGCUGCCUGGGCACAUCUGCUGGCACUUGUCCCAUUAGUUUAUGUCGUCCUCACAUCAAGAACCUUUAUGCUGAGCCUCCACACCCAAUCCUUUCCACUGGAACCUCGCUGAACCCUUACCCUGGGGAACAUGCUGGAGUGAUCAGCCCUCACAACAGAACCCUUCACCCUGAGUUGCCCAUUUCAGGGAGCAGCGGAGGAAGCAGUGGCUGGAAGGUGGAGGUGGGGCCUGAGCUGGGAGAGCAGGAAUGGAGACAGACCUGGGCGCUCAGGCCCCAGCCAUGGUCAGAAGUGCUCCCAAGGGAGCGUUGACCUCUCACCCCAGCCCGCUGCAGUUGGAGGAUCUGCUGCCCCCACAGCCCCUGCUUCAAGGACCAGCAGCUGCCCAUGGAGCAGCUAGGUAUCACCAUGGCAACCGGGCCAGGCCAGCCUGCAGGUGGGGCUGCUUUAAAGACUUUUAUUGC